rnacentral:rRNA from 1 species
AUUGAACGCUAGCGGGAUGCCUUACACAUGCGAGUCGAACGGCACCACGGACUUCGGUCUGGUGGCGAGUGGCGAANGGGUGAGUAAUGUAUCGGAACGUGCCUAGUAGCGGGGGAUAACUACGCGAAAGCGUAGCUAAUACCGCAUACGCCCUACGGGGGAAAGCAGGGGAUCGCAAGACCUUGCACUAUUAGAGCGGCCGAUAUCGGAUUAGCUAGUUGGUGGGGUAACGGCUCACCAAGGCGACGAUCCGUAGCUGGUUUGAGAGGACGACCAGCCACACUGGGACUGAGACACGGCCCAGACUCCUACGGGAGGCAGCAGUGGGGAAUUUUGGACAAUGGGGGAAACCCUGAUCCAGCCAUCCCGCGUGUGCGAUGAAGGCCUUCGGGUUGUAAAGCACUUUUGGCAGGAAAGAAACGUCAUGGGUUAAUACCCCGUGAAACUGACGGUACCUGCAGAAUAAGCACCGGCUAACUACGUGCCAGCAGCCGCGGUAAUACGUAGGGUGCAAGCGUUAAUCGGAAUUACUGGGCGUAAAGCGUGCGCAGGCGGUUCGGAAAGAAAGAUGUGAAAUCCCAGAGCUUAACUUUGGAACUGCAUUUUUAACUACCGAGCUAGAGUGUGUCAGAGGGAGGUGGAAUUCCGCGUGUAGCAGUGAAAUGCGUAGAUAUGCGGAGGAACACCGAUGGCGAAGGCAGCCUCCUGGGAUAACACUGACGCUCAUGCACGAAAGCGUGGGGAGCAAACAGG